UACGAAGGGGGGCUAGCGUUGCUCGGAAUCACUGGGCGUAAAGCGCACGUAGGCGGAUUGUUAAGUCAGGGGUGAAAUCCUGGAGCUCAACUCCAGAACUGCCUUUGAUACUGGCGAUCUUGAGUUCGGGAGAGGUGAGUGGAACUGCGAGUGUAGAGGUGAAAUUCGUAGAUAUUCGCAAGAACACCAGUGGCGAAGGCGGCUCACUGGCCCGAUACUGACGCUGAGGCACGAAAGCGUGGGGAGCAAACAGGG
rnacentral:rRNA from 1 species